UACAGAGGGGGCAAGCGUUGUUCGGAAUUACUGGGCGUAAAGGGCUCGUAGGUGGCCAACUAAGUCAGACGUGAAAUCCCUCAGCUUAACUGGGGAACUGCGUCUGAUACUGGAUGGCUUGAGUUCGGGAGGGGGAUGCGGAAUUCCAGGUGUAGCGGUGAAAUGCGUAGAUAUCUGGAGGAACACCGGUGGCGAAGGCGGCAUCCUGGACCGAUACUGACGCUGAGGAGCGAAAGCCAGGGGAGCAAACGGG
rnacentral:rRNA from 1 species